CCUACGGGGGGCAGCAGUGAGGAAUAUUGGUCAAUGGACGAGAGUCUGAACCAGCCAAGUAGCGUGAAGGAUGACUGCCCUAUGGGUUGUAAACUUCUUUUAUCUGGGAAUAAAAUGUUCCACGUGUGGGAUUUUGUAUGUACCAUAUGAAAAAGGAUCGGCUAACUCCGUGCCAGCAGCCGCGGUAAUACGGAGGAUCCGAGCGUUAUCCGGAUUUAUUGGGUUUAAAGGGAGCGUAGGUGGAUUGUUAAGUCAGUUGUGAAAGUUUGCGGCUCAACCGUAAAAUUGCAGUUGAAACUGGCAGUCUUGAGUACAGUAGAGGUGGGCGGAAUUCGUGGUGUAGCGGUGAAAUGCUUAGAUAUCACGAAGAACUCCGAUUGCGAAGGCAGCUCGCUGGACUGCAACUGACACUGAGGCUCGAAAGUGUGGGUAUCAAACAGGAUUAGAUACCCGGGUAGUC
rnacentral:rRNA from 1 species